rnacentral:rRNA from 1 species
UGGGGAAUUUUGGACAAUGGGGGCAACCCUGAUCCAGCAAUGCCGCGUGUGUGAAGAAGGCCUUCGGGUUGUAAAGCACUUUUGUCCGGAAAGAAAACCUCUCUGUUAAUACCGGGGGGGGAUGACGGUACCGGAAGAAUAAGCACCGGCUAACUACGUGCCAGCAGCCGCGGUAAUACGUAGGGUGCGAGCGUUAAUCGGAAUUACUGGGCGUAAAGCGUGCGCAGGCGGUGAUGUAAGACCGAUGUGAAAUCCCCGGGCUUAACCUGGGAACUGCAUUGGUGACUGCAUCGCUCGAGUAUGGCAGAGGGGGGUAGAAUUCCACGUGUAGCAGUGAAAUGCGUAGAGAUGUGGAGGAAUACCGAUGGCGAAGGCAGCCCCCUGGGUCAAUACUGACGCUCAUGCACGAAAGCGUGGGGAGCAAACAGGAUUAGAUACCCGCGUAGUCC